rnacentral:rRNA from 1 species
UCCAGACUCCUACGGGAGGCAGCAGUGGGGGAUAUUGCACAAUGGGGGAAACCCUGAUGCAGCGACGCCGCGUGUGGGAAGACGGUCUUCUGGAUUGUAAACCACUGUCCCCAGGGACGAAAAUGACGGUACCUGGGGAGGAAGCUCCGGCUAACUACGUGCCAGCAGCCGCGGUAAUACGUAGGUGGCAAGCGUUGUCCGGAUUUACUGGGUGUAAAGGGCGUGUAGCCGGGCUGACAAGUCAGAUGUGAAAUCCGGGGGCUCAACCCCCGAACUGCAUUUGAAACUGUUGGUCUUGAGUAUCGGAGAGGCAGGCGGAAUUCCUAGUGUAGCGGUGAAAUGCGUAGAUAUUAGGAGGAACACCAGUGGCGAAGGCGGCCUGCUGGACGACAACUGACGGUGAGGCGCGAAAGCGUGGGGAGCAAACAGGAUUAGAUACCCGAGUAU